CGUGAGUUUUAAAAGAACAAGAAGAAGAAGAAGAAAAAGAAAAAGACCAAUAUGACGGUGGCGCUUCGGACCAGCGUGCUUCAGAUUUAGCCAAUCAGCUUCCAGGAGUUCGCCUCGUGCAGCCAGUCAUGAAAGGAUCUGAAAGCUGCACUUCAGACUUGGACUUGUCUUUUAAGGGUUCCCCAGAAAUCAUCUAUCCUGAAUGAGUGGAGUUCAAACCAUAAUUUUGUCCUCUUUCUGCCAAUCUACAAUUGGAAACACUGCAUUGCUAUAGCUGCUGACUGACAUCAUGUGGUCCUGCCUGGCCGUUCUGCAGCCUUCAAGAUGGCGAAGAUUUCUCUUCAACUACUCUGUGACCUCUGCCCUUGCUUGCCCUUCCACCUGACACCGGCUAAAGAGAGGAGUUUUGUUCAGGGAUGAUGAGUUGCAGCAUCCUGCAGCAGUCACUUCAUGAUGUUUCCAUAAACUUGGAUACCAGAUAAGUUCUUAAUGCUGGAUUAAAAGCCCAUUUUAAAAUUUUUACUGACAAAAAUUCCAUAUCUGUCAUUUUUUUUCUCUCUCUCACUUUGAGAAAUGCUAAUUUACACCCAGGCAGGCGAAGCUCCAGUUCCACGCCUCAGUGAGCCCAUCUGUAAAUCUUAAAAGCAAUGACUAUGGGAGAAAGCCUGUCUGCUGAUGAACCCGCUUUGCAAAACAUUUCAGCGAUGGAGCAAGAAAAAAACAAAACAAAACACACAUACCAAUCAACUCAAGGACUGUACAAAGAGCGGACUGUCGUUGCUAAGAGACAGAUGCAGAAUAACCUCCAUGAGAAACCUGACCAUGACCCUUCCUCCUCCUCCUCCUCCUCCCAGUCUCUGCCUCUUCUACCCAAUUACGGCUGCACAUUAGAGACUACCUCUGUCACAUUAAAGCUAAAAUGCCAGAGAGAAGAGGGAGUAGUUUUAUGUAGAAACUGUACAGAUUCUGGAUUAUUCAUCAAAGCACAAGAAACUAAUAAUAAUACACAUUUUUAUUUAUUCAUUUAUUUAUUUUUACAUGUAUGCAGGGGUUGGUGUUGGUGUUGGUGUGUUUUACCCAGGCUGGAGG